CUAGUGUAGCGGUGAAAUGCGUAGAUAUUAGGAGGAACACCAGUGGCGAAGGCGGAUUGCUGGACGAUAACUGACGGUGAGGCGCGAAAGUGUGGGGAGCAAACAGGAUUAGAUACCCUGGUAGUCCACACUGUAAACGAUGAAUACUAGGUGUGCGGGGACUGACCCCCUGCGUGCCGCAGUAAACACAAUAAGUAUUCCACCUGGGGAGUACGAUCGCAAGGUUGAAACUCAAAGGAAUUGACGGGGGCCCGCACAAGCGGUGGAUUAUGUGGUUUAAUUCGAAGCAACGCGAAGAACCUUACCAGGGUUUGACAUCCUGCUAACGAAGUAGAGAUACAUUAGGUGCCCUUCGGGGAAAGCAGAGACAGGUGGUGCAUGGUUGUCGUCAGCUCGUGUCGUGAGAUGUUGGGUUAAGUCCCGCAACGAGCGCAACCCCUAUUGUUAGUUGCUACGCAAGAGCACUCUAGCGAGACUGCCGUUGACAAAACGGAGGAAGGUGGGGACGACGUCAAAUCAUCAUGCCCCUUAUGUCCUGGGCUACACACGUAAUACAAUGGCGGUCAACAGAGGGAAGCAAAGCCGCGAGGCAGAGCAAACCCCCAAAAGCCGUCCCAGUUCGGAUUGUAGGCUGCAACUCGCCUGCAUGAAGUCGGAAUCGCUAGUAAUCGCGGAUCAGCAUGCCGCGGUGAAUACG
rnacentral:rRNA from 1 species